rnacentral:rRNA from 1 species
UACGGGGGGGGCAAGCGUUGUUCGGAAUUACUGGGCGUAAAGGGCUCGUAGGUGGCCAACUAAGUCAGACGUGAAAUCCCUCAGCUUAACUGGGGAACUGCGUCUGAUACUGGAUGGCUUGAGUUUGGGAGAGGGAUGCGGAAUUCCAGGUGUAGCGGCGAAAUGCGUAGAUAUCUGGAGGAACACCGGUGGCGAAGGCGGCAUCCUGGACCAACACUGACACUGAGGAGCGAAAGCCAGGGGAGCAAACGGG